GCCUCGGUAGCUCAGUUGGUAGAGCAAUGGACUGAAAAUCCAUGUGUCGGCGGUGCGAGCCCGCCCUGAGGCACCA
rnacentral:tRNA from 1 species